rnacentral:rRNA from 1 species
GACGAACGCUGGCGGCGUGCCUAAUACAUGCAAGUAGAACGCUGAAGGAGGAGCUUGCUCUUUCCGGAUGAGUUGCGAACGGGUGAGUAACGCGUAGGUAACCUGCCUGGUAGCGGGGGAUAACUAUUGGAAACGAUAGCUAAUACCGCAUAAGAGUAGAUAUCGCAUGAUAGCUGCUUGAAAGGUGCAAUUGCACCACUACCAGAUGGACCUGCGUUGUAUUAGCUAGUUGGUGAGGUAACGGCUCACCAAGGCAACGAUACAUAGCCGACCUGAGAGGGUGAUCGGCCACACUGGGACUGAGACACGGCCCAGACUCCUACGGGAGGCAGCAGUAGGGAAUCUUCGGCAAUGGACGGAAGUCUGACCGAGCAACGCCGCGUGAGUGAAGAAGGUUUUCGGAUCGUAAAGCUCUGUUGUAAGAGAAGAACGAGUGUGAGAGUGGAAAGUUCACACUGUGACGGUAUCUUACCAGAAAGGGACGGCUAACUACGUGCCAGCAGCCGCGGUAAUACGUAGGUCCCGAGCGUUGUCCGGAUUUAUUGGGCGUAAAGCGAGCGCAGGCGGUUAGAUAAGUCUGAAGUUAAAGGCUGUGGCUUAACCAUAGUACGCUUUGGAAACUGUUUAACUUGAGUGCAAGAGGGGAGAGUGGAAUUCCAUGUGUAGCGGUGAAAUGCGUAGAUAUAUGGAGGAACACCGGUGGCGAAAGCGGCUCUCUGGCUUGUAACUGACGCUGAGGCUCGAAAGCGUGGGGAGCAAACAGG